rnacentral:lncRNA from 1 species
CGGCGCCCAGCAAACUACAAGAAUCAAUAUUGUGAAACUUAAGUAACAAGAGAAUAACACGAAGGGUGAGAAUUCUGACAAGAAGUUUGCUAGCAAAUUUGAAACUAUGGAUAGACAUCAGCUGGAAACCGUUAGAAUUAUGGAUGAUGGUUGAUCCUCUAAUCAUGUUAUUUUGUCUAUUUUGAACCAUGUUCAGAGAGAGAGACCAUUGUGAGGUGCGAGCAUCCGAAAUAGAAGCCGAAUGUGUUCUGGCAGGAGGUGUCCGGGAAGGAAUUGAGGACGAUUGAAACAUGUCAAAGAUUCUUUUAAUCGCACCAAUGGGGCAAGGGAUGGUUAUUCGAAAUAUGAGUUUAUUUCUUGACUUCCAGAUUAUUCAGAGAGUGCAAGACAUAGCAGGGUAGAAAUUUCUUGAGUACUCAAGCGAGAGAUUAUUUCAUUGAAGCCAUUGAAGAAUCCAAUUGGAUAUAGAAUUUUCGUUUACGGAGUCAAUGCGAAGAGCAAGAGGAGAGCCAAAUCAAACUGCUCUCACAAAGUUGCAAUUGAAGAAAAUAGGGUCAAGGGUUUCUCUAUUUUCCUUACAAAGAGGACAAAGAAAAUCACUGGUUGAAAACCUUCUUGAAAGGAGGUUUUUUGUGGGGAGGUUAUUGUUGCAGAUCUUGCAAAAGAAGAAAGAUGAUCUUGAAGGGGAUUUUAAGUCCCCAAAAAUUUGUCCAUGUUGCUUGGUGAGUUCUAUGGGUAGCAAUAUUGGAGUUCCUCCGGUAAGAAUGUGCAUAACCAUUUUU